GGAUUAGAUACCCUGGUAGUCCACGCCCUAAACGAUGAAUGUUAGUCGUCGGGUAGCUAGUCUAUUCGGUGAUGCAGCUAACGCAUUAAACAUUCCGCCUGGGGAGUACGGUCGCAAGAUUAAAACUCAAAGGAAUAGACGGGGACCCGCACAAGUGGUGGAGCAUGUGGUUUAAUUCGAAGAUACGCGAAGAACCUUACCUAGCCUUGACAUAUUUAAGAACACUUUAGAGAUAGAGUGGUGCCUUCGGGAGCUUUUAUACAGGUGCUGCACGGCUGUCGUCAGCUCGUGUCGUGAGAUGUUGGGUUAAGUCCCGCAACGAGCGCAACCCUCGUCACUAGUUACUAACGGUUCGGCCGAGGACUCUAGUGAGACUGCCUUCGCAAGGAGGAGGAAGGUGAGGACGACGUCAAGUCAUCAUGGCCCUUACGGCUAGGGCAACACACGUGCUACAAUGGCCAGGACAAUGAGAAGCAAUACUGCGAGGUGGAGCAAAUCUAUAAACCUGGUCUCAGUUCGGAUAGCAGUCUGCAACUCGACUGCUUGAAGCUGGAAUCACUAGUAAUCGUAGAUCAGCUAUGCUACGGUGAAUACGUUCCCGGGUCUUGUACUCACCGCCCGUCACACCAUGGGAGUUGAUUUCACCCGAAGCGGGGAAGCUAAACUGGCUACCCUCCACGGUGGAAUCAGCGACUGGGGUGAAGUCGUAACAAGGUAACCGUAGGAGAACCUGCGGUUGGAUCACCUCCUUU
rnacentral:rRNA from 1 species